rnacentral:rRNA from 1 species
UACAGAGGGGGCAAGCGUUGUUCGGAAUUACUGGGCGUAAAGGGCGCGUAGGCGGCCUGCUAAGUCGAACGUGAAAUCCCCGGGCUCAACCCGGGAACUGCGUCCGAUACUGGCAGGCUUGAAUCCGGGAGAGGGAUGUGGAAUUCCUGGUGUAGCGGUGAAAUGCGUAGAUAUCAGGAGGAACACCUGUGGUGUAGACGGCUUACUGGACCAUGACUGACGCUGAGGCACGAAAGCGUGGGGAGCAAACAGG